rnacentral:rRNA from 1 species
UCCGUAGGCGGUGCGGCAAGUCGGAAGUGAAAUCUCUGGGCUUAACUCAGAGGCUGCUUCCGAAACUGCCGUGCUCGAGUGUGAGAGAGGCGAGUGGAAUUACGGGUGUAGCGGUGAAAUGCGUAGAUAUCCGUAGGAACAUCCGAGGCGAAAGCGGCUCGCUGGAUCACAACUGACGCUGAGGGACGAAAGCUAGGGGAGCAAACAGGAUUAGAUACCCUGGUAGUCCUAGCCCUAAACCAUCAGGACUUGGGGUUUGCCCUGUACGGGGCAAGUCCCGGAGCUAACGCGUUAAGUCCUGCGCCUGGGGAUACGGCCGCAAGGCUGAA